UACAGAGGGUGCUAGCGUUAUUCGGAAUUAUUGGGCGUAAAGGGCGCGUAGGCGGCUUUGCAAGUGACGGGUGAAAUCCCUCGGCUUAACCGAGGAACUGCCUGUCAAACUGCAUGGCUUGAGACCGGGAGAGGUGAGUGGAAUUCCCAGUGUAGCGGUGAAAUGCGUGGAUAUUGGGAGGAACACCUAUGGCGAAAGCGGCUCACUGGACCACAACUGACGCUGAGGCGCGAAAGCUAGGGGAGCAAACAGG
rnacentral:rRNA from 1 species